GUAGGUGGCAAGCGUUGUCCGGAAUUAUUGGGCGUAAAGCGCGCGCAGGCGGUUCUUUAAGUCUGAUGUGAAAGCCCACGGCUCAACCGUGGAGGGUCAUUGGAAACUGGAGAACUUGAGUACAGAAGAGGAAAGCGGAAUUCCACGUGUGGCGGUGAAAUGCGUAGAGAUGUGGAGGAACACCAGUGGCGAAGGCGGCUUUCUGGUCUGUAACUGACGCUGAGGCGCGAAAGCGUGGGGAGCAAACAGGAUUAGAUACCCUGGUAGUCCACGCCGUAAACGAUGAGUGCUAAGUGUUAGGGGGUUUUCCGCCCCCCUUAGUGCUGCAGCUAACGCAUUAAGCACUCCGCCUGGGAUACGGCCGCAAGGCUG
rnacentral:rRNA from 1 species